CAUCCCAGGAGGGUAGGAGCUAGGGGCAGCCCAUGUAUAUUCAAUGUUUUUCCCUGGCAAAAUAUUUACCUGCUAAAAUGUCACCUUCUUCUUUGAUCUGCAGCCCACAGAGAGUAUGAGUCUGCUUCUCUGUAGUCAAAGCUAGAUGUGCCGUCAAGGGAGGACUCCAGCCUGCCUCGCUCCUGAGGAGACCAAGGGCGCCAGACCUGUUCUGCCCAUUCACAUAGCCUGGCUUAUCUUAGGAAAAAAGUGUCUCUGUGAUAAGUCUUUCAAUGGUUAAUGAUUAUAUGCCACUUCCUAGAUUGGAAACACUACACUCUUAGUAUUAAUUAUGGGGAGCAUGAGUGUGUUUUUGUCUGCUAUUGGGCUUAGGGAUGUGAAGGUCCAGAAAAAAUGUGGGGAAAUGCAAGGGCCCUGAAGCUAAUGGGAUCAUCUGAUUUUGGAAGCUAAAAAGGGUCCGGUGUGUUUAGGUGUUGUAUGAUGGACCACCAAAGAAUAUCACAUCCUAAAAGCUAUAUAUCAGGAAAAAGGCAAUGGCUAGCAAACCACUUCUGAAGCUUCUUUGCCUAAGAAGACAGUACGCAGUUAAUCAGGUCAACAUAUGUCAAGAGGAAUCUUUCUCUCUGCCAUCUAUGCCAAUCAACAAGAAUUGUUUAUCAAGUUAAUCCCAGCUUGAAGGUGAUGCACUCCCUUGUCGCAGAAAGGGAUGCUGUGAAUAGAGGAGAUGUAUUCCAGAAUUUCUCCAAUAAAAACUUUAACACCACGAUAACAUGCACCAAUUAGAAACUGCAAACGUUUGAACCAAUAAAACUGCAAAUCAUCAUUUGUACCAA